rnacentral:tRNA from 1 species
UGGGGAGUCGCCAAGUGGUAAGGCAACGGACUUUGACUCCGUCAUUCGUAGGUUCGAUCCCUACCUCCCCAGCCA